UUAUGCAAACUUUAAAAUGAAAUCAUCAUGUCUGUCAUUACAAAAUAAACAAUAACGAUGUAAACUUUAGCUCGUAUAUGGCAGAAAUCUAGGAAACAAAUGUUUCUAACCUUUGAAGUCUGUUUCCUUAAAAUGGCCCUAACCCUAUUUGAAAAGAGUUGAAAAAUGUUAUUUUUGGUAGCCACAGUUAGCGGCGUAAAAAAUGAAAGCAACACAAUAUUGGCAUGAAGAGGCCAGGAUUUAGUUAGCAUGGCUGUGAGCAGUGUCUCCUGACCUGAUGGGAUGUGAAUGGGAUGUCAUUGUCCCCUACAGUUUAAAGUGGAAGAGUGCAUCAGUGGAGUAAGUUUUCCUUAGUUGCUGUUUAGUACUUGGAGACAACAUUACCUGCUUUUUGCUGCAAAAAAGAAUCUGAUAAUUGCUUGCGUGUAAUGGGUUGUCGUGAGACAGAAGGAAGGGCUUGUGAUUUGCUGAAAACACCUCAGCUGCAUAUUUAAAGUUCAAGCUUACAGUUAGCUCACUUUAUUUUUUACAUUUCUUUUUUUUCUAUCUUUUUUUUAAUUGCAGCCAUGAGCAAUACAGUGUGGCAUUGUCUAAAUUUACACCAAAUGCAAUACGAUUAAAAAGAACAAAACAAAAACAAACGUAAUGUUAAAUGUUAGCAUUCCUGUGCUUACUCGGUAGAUUCUGGUACACAGUGGACCAAACCGCGUCAUCAAAAAAAAAAAAAAAAAUGGCGACCUUCAUGGGUGAAAAAUAAAACAAAAGAUAGACCAUUUUUGAAGUAAUUAUGAGUUUCUGUGCAUCACAAACAGCAAUUUAUAAACAAAUAGGAGAAUGACAACAUUUCUAGGCCAACAUGUUCGACCAAUCGUGGAUCAAUACGGAGUCAUCACACAGCUGUACUGACAUCAGCAGAAGUCGAGUCAGGAUGCAGCAAAUACAACGACGUGAACCGAUGGCAGCAUGCCGCCAGCCUCACGCUGGCUGAGUAACAGCCUGUGCAUGGGGGGGAGACAACAACAACAACAGUCUUGUUAUGGUCCCUUCAUCCUAAGCUGAGGGCACAAAUGGCAGCUGCCAUGACACCGCCAGCAGGACAGGAGGGGUGGGGGGUUGGGGGCUGCCAGACACCAGGCAGCAGUAAACAAGUCGCACUCGCUCUCCACUUCCUACGUGUUCGAGUGCAAAGUUCUCCGGAGAUGUACAGGAAUGACACAGCUGAAACGGGAUGGAAGCAAAAGCGUGAAGGGUGGAAGGAGCAGCCCUACCUUCAGAGGAAGAGGGCGAGAGGAGCAGAUUCCAGGAGGGACAGGCGGGACGGGAGGCAGCAGCUACAGAGAGGGAGGCAGCUCCUCUACCCCCAUCAGCAACUCAACUGUCCACACCAGGAUGUGUGUGUGUCCAGCCAGAUGCAGACUGGCGAGUCCUUGUUGCUUGCUGGCAGCGCUGCAAGGUCACGAUUCUGUCUCUGCACCCAAAGAGUGACACAGCACCGAGACGGGCCUGCAUCCAGGAUUUAUGAUUCAGUCCUCUUUUCCCUGACUGGCGGUUGAAUCUGCUGUAAUUACGGAGACGAGCCGUGAUGAUGGCUCGUGUGACAUUGGAUUGCAGGAAAUUCUUUGCACACCUCUCUGUCAGUAAGGCUGGUUCUGGUCAGGAUGGAUGAACAAAAACCAGACGCCUUGACGUCUGAUCACACAGUAGAUUCCACCGAGGAAACCAAGCAGGUCUGCUAAAAGCUCGUCAGUGAAACACUUUGGUACACAGAACCUUUAUGGCCUUGUCUGGAAAAACAAUAAAAAUAUUAAAAUAUUGA